rnacentral:lncRNA from 1 species
CUCUUCUCUGUUCCAGAGGGUCUGGAGGCAGCAGUGAAAUCCACCUCAGGUUAGCCCUGGGCCUCAAAUCACUGGAUCCCUGGCGUGCGUGUGUGUGUGUGUGUGUGUGUGUGUGUGUGUGUGUGUUGUGGGGGGGGCGGGUGGGGAGCGGCGUUCUGCUGGACUCUUGAGCCUACCAGCCUCGAGCUUUAGGCAUAGCUUAGGCGGCAUUGUGAGGCACUGGAAAGGGCCCUGGCUGCCCCACCCCCCCAAGGCUGGCUCUAUCAGUUGCUUAUCAGACAAGUUAUGUAACUUCCUGAGGCCUUGCUUUCUCAUCUAUAAUGAGGAUGUUAAUAGCUACCUUAUGGGAAGGUAUGUGGAUUCAGUAAGAUAACACACACAAGCAGUAACUACUCAUCAAACAGUCCCGUCCUCCCCUUCACCAGCCUCAGAGUGGGAGGACUCUAGGAUGACUUGACUAGGCUCCCAGGAGACAUUGUGUGUGAUUCAAAACAUUCAUUGGAUUAAAAGUUCAAAUAUGAAUACAAUCUCUUUACAAGUCAAACUCUGAAGCAUGUGUAAAGGAAGAAAAAAUUCUCCCUUGCCUGCCUGCAGUUUCACUCCGAGAUAUCCAAUGUUCACAGCCUUGGGUGUCCUUCUGCAGAAUUUCUAUCCUCAAACACAAACAUAUAUAGAGGUGUUUCUUUUUCCUUUUUUUUUUCUAACACGUUGAGAUUCCACUAAACAUGUUUCUUUGCAACUUCGUUUUUCAUUUAAACAUAAGUCAUGUACCUUAACCUUGGUAAAUACAUGUGGAUCUAGCUCAUUCAUUUUAAUAGCUGCAUAGGGUUCCAAAGAAAGUAUGAACAAUAAUUUUCCAGCUAUUUCUCAUCUGAUGGAUUUUUUUUCCCACUACAAACAAUGCUGCAACGAUGAUCCUUGCACAAACAUCCUCAUGAAUUGAUGCUUUAAUUUCUAAGGGGUUCUUUCCCCGAAAUAUGAUUACUGGGUCAAAGGGUAUGCUACACACAGUUUAUAUUUUUUUACAGUUUAACACUGAGAGAUGACUUUCUCCAGAUUUUUUCGUUUCCCUCUCGGCGUCUGUUUGUUCCGGACACUUUCACUUUUCGAGUUCCAAGGAGGAGGUAGCCCGCGACACCGGCCGCGGGAAACACGAGUUGCAGCCAGCAUCCUAGUUAGCGUGGAUGCAGGUGGCACUCCGGGGACGAGGGGCUUAGUGGGGAGCACUACACAGCCAGAGGCGGAGGCCCGAGAUCUAGCACGACGCUGGGCAAGUGACGGCCCCUCCCCGGCCUUGGUUUUCUUCUGCGUAGUCUGUGACUCUAAACAACAUUAGGCUCAGCCUGGGCCUAGAGCUGGUGACCUCAAAUCUCGGCCUUUGUUGGCUCCCCUAGGACUGUAGGCUGCGCUUCACCCCUGCUCUGCCCCACUACUUCUCCUCCGCGCGGCCCCACCUUUUCAGAGGAGUUGGCUCAACAAGGCGAGAGAGAGUAAAGCAACCAUCAUGAUGAAUCCCUCCCACAGCUCGGUCAUUUAUUACUUCUGUCCGGCUUUGGCUCGCUCCUGCCCUUUUGGCUCGGCUAUCGAGUGCUCCUGCCUGAACCUGGCAAGUAACCUCGGAGCGCGCCCGUUCGGCCUAUCACUUGCUUCUGCCUGCGCCGCUCUCCCGCAGGGGCUGCGGUGAAAGCCCAGCGAUCCUUGGCUCGGCCAGCAACUUAUGCGCCCUUUACCUGGAGCAGCCGCUUCCGGUUCCGGUAGCAGCUAGUCACGCUCGGUACCAGGCGCAGAUCAUGGCAGGCAGCCGGCUGGAAACCGUAGGGAGCAUCUUCUCUCGGACUCGGGACCUGGUUCGGGCCGGGGUGCUGAAGGAGAAGCCCCUGUGGUUUGACGUAUAUGACGCCUUUCCCCCGCUGAGGGAGCCCGUCUUCCAAAGGCCUCGAGUGCGAUAUGGCAAAGCCAAAGCUCCCAUCCAAGACAUCUGGUACCACGAGGAUCGGAUUAGAGCGAAGUUUUAUUCAGUGUAUGGGUCUGGUCAAAGAGCUUUUGAUCUAUUCAAUCCAAACUUCAAGUCUACCUGUCAACGGUUUGUGGAGAAGUACACUGAGCUACAGAAACUUGGAGAAACAGAUGAAGAGAAGUUAUUUGUGGAAACAGGGAAGGCUUUAUUGGCAGAAGGUGUCAUUUUAAGACGAGUAGGCGAAGCAAGGACUCAACACGGAGGUAGUCACGUUUCCCGGAAAUCCGAACACUUGAGUGUCAGACCACAGACUGCGUUGGAAGAAAACGAGACUCAGAAAGAAGUUCCACAGGACCAGCAUUUGGAGGCACCUGCAGACCAGUCGAAAGGUCUCUUGCCUCCCUGAAGGACCUGUAUACUGUGUAUGCUGGCAUUCACACUCUACUCACUGGCUGAAUGUUGAGCUAUUUUUAAACAGUUGAACUGUGUAAAUGUUUCUUGAUCUCUAAGGUAUUAUGUUUGCCUUCUCUUAGUUAUUUCUGGGUUGUCACAAAGCUCAGUAUCAUGGUUUGACAGAAGCAGUUAUGUGAACUUUUAUGUUAGGACAUUACUAAAUAAAGAAUUCCCUAGCUGCUUAUAAAGUAAAUUUACUUUGAAUUGUAAAUAACAUGAAGAAACCUUUAUAAAGAUUGUUCAAAUGGGACUCAAUCUGACUAGGCUUGCUUUGAUGUUUGUUAGUAUGUGGGCUGGCUACAUGUUGUGGAACCUUGGCUAGCUGGUUUUGUCUGCAGAGAAUCUUUGUACUUCUUGCUAUAGAACGAUUAUCUCUCCACUUGAGAGGCCAAGCUGACUUGCGCUUUGUGGUAAGAGUGAGGACCUGUCAUUGCUGAUACACAAAGACCAAAACUGUAACUUUAAUGUCAUGGAUUGAGUGUGCUGGAGACAGUUAACAUAGGCCUGCACAGACUAGGCUGUUCAGUAAAUACUUGUUGAAUGAAUGAGUGAACGAAUGGUUAUAUCCAGCUAAAGACUGGAUUCAUAUGGUGUAGAUAACAGGAUUGCCAAGAAAGGAGGCAGCUAAUUUAGGUGAUGCUCUCCACCAGCAUCCACCUGCCUCCCUGGGGCCAAAGUGUGCCUACAAGUCCUUAUCAACUUCCCUGCCUUCCUCGUUUCCCCAGGUUUUACUAAAUACAUGAAAUAUCCCUCUGAGAUUGCAGCCUUUGUAUAUGUGGUCAAGCCAGUGGUUUUUAGCUGUUAGUAGUAAGCUGCUUCAGAAAUUCCCUAUUUUAAAACUCAUGUAGAUUUUCUACCCAGUGAUUCUUUGUGUAUGCUCUCAUCUCUCCUGGUACACUGUGAGGCAGGUCCACAUCUCACAGUCUGUAUAUAGUACACAUCCAUGCACGUGGGUGCUUGGUUCAUGCAGGUGAAUGAAUACAUUAGGCAAAAGCAGCUCUCAGCCAUGCUGCUUCCCCCUCGACCUUUAUCACUGUUUCACAACUGCUUGCAUUUGGAGAAUGCUUUACUUUUCCGUAGGGAAGUAAAUUUCAUCCAUUCAGAGACAUUACACAACCAUUGAGACCAAACAUCGGGCCAGACCUUGGGAAGAGGACUUAAAAAGCAGGUGAAAGACACAGUCUAUUCUCAGAGGAACAAUUGAGGGGUCACUCAUCUCUUUAAACCUUAGGUUUCUGGUUUUUUAAGGGCAGGUUUUUUUUGCCACAAUGAUGAAUAUUUAAAAAAUGUUUUUUUCCUUCAUGUCUGGAUUGAUGUCCCAUUUUUGCUAUUUUUGUUUGUUUUCCUCCUCUGUAGAUUUUUAAUUUUUUUUUUUUUUUUUUUUUUUUUUUUGCGAUGGAGUAUCACUUUGUUUCCCAGGCUGGAGUACAGUGGAGCCAUCUUGGCCCACUGCAACCUCCGCCUCCCAGGUUCAAGCAGUUCUUCUGCCUCAGCCUCCCAAGUAGCUGGGAUUACAGGUGUAUGCUAUGACGCCCGGCUAAUUUUUGUAUUUUUAGUAGAAACGGGCUUUUAACCAUGUUGCCCAGGCUGAUCUCAAACUGCUGGCCUCAAGUGAUCCACCCAUCUCAACCUCCCAAAAUGCUGGGAUUACGGGUGUUAGCCACCAUGCCUGGCCUUAAUUUUUUUUUUUUUUAAUUUUGUUUUAGGAGAUGGGGGUCUCACUGUGUUACCCAGGCUGGGUGCAGUGGUGCAUACCCUGCCGCAGUCUUAACUCCUGGGCUGAAGCCAUCCUGGCUCACUUCCCGAAUAGCUAGGACUAUAGGCAUGUGCCACCACGCCUGGCUCUUUAACAUUUUUUUUGUUUGUUUUUUUUUGUAGAGAUGGAGUCUUGCUAUGUUGCCCAGGCUGGCCUGGUCUCAAACUCCUGGCCUCAAGCGAUCCUCCUGCCUCAGCCGCCCAAAGUGCUGGGAUUACAGGCCUGAGCGACCGUACUGGGGCUGAAGACUUUUAAAGAAGUUAUUUGUUGCAUAAUUCUUUAAAAAAAUUAUACAUGCACAUGGUUCAAAACUUAACAGUAAAAAGCUAGUCUCCCACCCCUGUUCCCCAGCCACCCUUUUCCCCUUCCCUGAGGCCAUCACUAUCACCAUUUCCUUGUGCGCUCUUCCAGAAAUAUUUUGGGCAUGGACAGGACACUAUGCAUACUGUUCUGUACCUUGCUUUUCUAGUUACUAUGUCUCAGAGAUCCACUGUGAUUUAAUCAGUGCCCGAUUGAAGAAAAUGUUCUUUGUUUUACUGUGUUGCAAAUGGGCUGCUAGAGUUAUGGGAUGCUGGAUCAAGGAGCAGAUCAUUUUGAGUUUUGAUAUCUUCGUCCAUAGAAAUUGUGCUUAACUAUACUCUCAUAGCAAUGUAUGAGAAUGCGUUCCCCUACACAUUCUGAUCUUGUUAAACCAGACUGGGACUCUGGACCAGAAGGGAAAGACCAUCCCUGUAUAGCAAAUAUCUGGAUGGGGAGAAAGCUGCUGUCACUCAUUGACUUCUUUAGGUUAAGUCUUAGUGAUCAAAACAUAGUGAAAGAUAUGAAGCUUACUUUGGAAACUCAGAACUAUUUCCACAGUUUGGGCAAAAGCUGUCAUCAGAUCCCCAUCACGUUUUGGAGAGAAUGGAAGCAUGACCGCAUUCUUGGCUUUAAAGAGCUUAAAAUCAGGCCGGGCUCCAUGGCUCACGCCUGUAAUCCCAGCACUUUGGGAGGCCAAGGUGGGCGGAUCACCUGAGGUCAGGAGUUCGAGACCAGCCUGGCCAACAUAGUGAAACCCCAUCUUUACUAAAAAUACAAAAAAAUUAGCUGGGCGUGCGGGCGUGUGCCUGUAAUACCAGCUACCCGGGAGGCUGAGGCAGGAGAAUCGCUGGAACCCAGGAGGCAGAGGCUGCAGUUGAGCCGAGAUUGUGCCACUGCACUCCAGCUUGGGCGACAGAGCAAGACCCUGUCUCAAAAAAAAAAAAAAAAAAAUCUUAAAAUCGAGUUGGGACUACAAGAGUGACUUGUGAAACAGCAAGAUGAACAGGAAUCCUUUUAAACUUUGAUAUAAAAGUACAGUAGAGGUUCAGGGGCAAGGAAUCAGUUCUGGAUUUGUCUAGGAAUACUGCAUGAGAGCCUGGAAAGGCAGUGGGAUGGACAUGUACAUGCGGUUUCUUUGGGCAGGAACACCCUCCCUUCUACCAUGGUCUGUAGGAAUUGAACCUUCCGUGCCGUUUUCAAAUGCUGUCUGUGCUCGGAAAAUACAUAAUAUCAAGUCCCUUACUGAACCCCCUACAGAUUGUGUUCAUAAGGUGCUUCACUGCUGUUGGUCUACCUGGCCUACUGUUUGUACUCCUGCCUCAUUUACUGUGGCCUUCAUUCAAGUAGUAAUGAUUAUUUACCUAUUAAGAGUAUAGGGUGGGCGUGGUGGCUCAUGUAAUCCCAGCACUUUGGGAAGUCAAGAUGGGUAGAUCACUUGAAGUCAGGAGUUUGAGACCAGCCUGGGCAACAUGAUGAAACCCCAUCUCUACUAAAAAUACAAAAGUUAGCUGGAUGUGGUGGCAGCCUCCUGUAAUCCCAACUACUCGGCAGGCUGAGGCAGGAGAAUCGCUUGAACCCAGGAGGUGGAGGUUACAGUGAGCUGAGAUCAUGCUACAGCACCCCAGCCUGGGCGACAGAAGAGAGACACUGUCUCAAAAAAAAAAAAAAAAAAAGUAUAAAGGAGGGCAGAAAUUCUUAUUCUUUUAACCCAUUGAAACAUUAAACAGCCUUUCAGGAGCAGACCCUCCUACGGAUUUGCUGAAUCCAAGGCGAGGAAGGCAUAUAUCCAGGUUACAGUGAAGUUUGCCCCAGACAAGUAAUGAAGAUUUGGGUUCUAGAUCUGGAUACUCCAGGCAGUUUUUACUAUGUGACCCUGUGCCUGUCACAGUAUUUCAGCCUGUAAAAUAUGGACAAUGUUUGCCUUUUUGGCUUCCAGUUAGCUUUGUGAGGAUUAAUUGAGAUGAGUGCAAAGCUCAUUUGUAAUGUGUGGCUGGUGGUUUUAUUACUAUUUUGAGCAGUAGUGGAAAAGCCCAUUUGAACUGGUAGGAUGAGAUAAGAUCAUGGUGGCCUUGACAACUACAUGGAGGAGCCAGUUGGGUAUGGGAAAGUUUGAGCAGGGAAAGAAAGAAUGUAGUGAAAGCAGUGUCAGGUCACAAACCUGAGUGACUAGAAAACUUAGCAGCAUCACUAACACCCAGUUGGUGACGUGGAACUGGUGCUCUCCUGGGAGAGAGCUUCAAUUCUCAACCUACUAAGUUGAAGGUGAUGGUGCUAUAUCUAAGUGGCAGACAGAGAUAAGGGAUAGGUGUCUACAGGGGCAAGAUUUGGAGCCAGGAGAAGAAAUGAGCUCUCCAAGGGUAGUGGGGAGAGAUCUGGGAUGUUGGGGGCUGGCAGGUAAAUGCUUUAAGUGAUAGAAUAGGAGGAAUGAGAAAGCCAGCAAAAGAAAUUCACGUCCCAUGUCUUCCAUCAUCUAUAUGUCUGACUUGUUUAAGUGGUCCUGGAUUCACCAAAUUUUAUAGAGCUCUGCCUCUGCCUUUAUUGGGUAGGCCUGAUUUUUGAUGAUGUCCUUAAAAGGCUAGCCUGAUUCUUCUUGUAGUUUUGUAGAACACUUUGUAUCGAGAGUUCUCUGAUAAUGAAAGUGGUAUUACAGAAUAAUCUGCCCCCGAAGGACUCCUGAUUUUGUUAAAGUGAUACCUUUCUCUGUAAAUAAAUGAUGGCGUGCCACUUAAAAACCUUCAGCAGAUUUCUUUUUUUAAACAAAGUCACUCAAGUGGGACAGUAAGAUUUUCUCUGAGGCUGGCACUGGUGCCUGCCUCUGCUCCGGGGAAUCCAGACGUGGCACCCGGAGUUGGGCCUCAUCCAUCCUCAGCUUUCAUUUGUGACCAAGCCUGACUCAGAAUGGGCUGGCAGUUUUCCUGAGUACAUGGGAGUUAGGGCAGAGAACAUGAUGUGGUGCUGGUAGUCAACGCAAGCUGGCACGGCCUCAGCCAGAAGACUGGAGCUAGGAGCAAGCAAAGGAACAUUGCCCUGAGACAGACAUCCAUGAAGAAGCCUGGGAUGAAAGACCACAUGGAGAGAAAGGCCCACCAUCAUUCUGCACCAACUACCAACGGCGUAAGGGAGGUUGACUUGGAUCUCCCACCCCAGUUGACUCUCCAGCUGAAAGCAACUGCCUGAGCCCAAACAAAACCUGCUGAGGAACCUCCCUGCUAGCAAAUGGAAUCAGGAGAAAUAAUAAAUAGUUCUGUUGUUUUAAGUCACCAACUCACAAACGGAGUAUAAGAAAUAAUCAAUGGAUGUAGUUUUAAGUCUCUAUGUGUUGGGAUGGUUUGAUAUAACAAUAGGUAACUGAAACAGUAGAAGAUUAGAAAGAGGAAAAAUAAUCACCCAUAAUCCCAUCACAUAAAGAUGACUGCUCUUUUUUUUUUUUUUUUUUUUUGAGAUGAAGUCCACUCUGCCACCCAGGCUGGAGUGCAGUGGCACAAUCUUGGCUCACUGCAACCUCUGCUUCCUGGGUUCAAGUGAUUCUCCUGCCUCAGCCUGCAGAGUAGCUGGGACUAAGGCGUGUGCGACCAUGCCCGGCUAAUUUUUUUUUUUUUGUGUGUGUGUUUUUAUUAGAGACGGGUUUUCACUAUGUUGGCCAGGCUGGUCUCAAACUCCUGACUUCAGGCGAUCCACCUGCCUCAGCCUCCCAAAGUGCUGAGAUUACAGGCGUGAACCACCAUGCCUGGCCAAAGAUGACUGUUCUUAACAUCCGUAAGUUUUUCCUUUCGCUCUCUUUUUUUUCUACACAUAUUUUUCAACAUUUUAUUCUGAAAAUUUUCAAACACAUAAAGUGAACAUUCCAUACCCACUACUUAGAUUCUACAAUUAUCUUAUUUUUAGUGCAUUUCAAAGCAAUGAACAUCAGUACCCUUCACCUAUAAAUACUUUAGCAUUCUGGAUAUGUUUUAAGUAGUUGUAAUAAUAAAAUGCCUAAUAUGUACUUUUAUAUCCUGCUUCAUUCAAUUAUUUUGAUAUUAUUAACACGCUUGAAUGUUAAACUCUUUGUGAAAUUUACUUUUAAUGACUGAUAAUGUACAAUGAAGCAGGUAUACUGUCUUUUUUUUUUCUAUUUCUGAUUGUUAGAUAGCUAUGAUUUUUCUACCUUCGUAUCUGUUAAUAUAAGUUAUACUUCAAAUACCCUCAUUUCCAGGUACAGAAAAAAGGCCAGUG